rnacentral:ncRNA from 1 species
CAACCUCAACUCAUAUGGGACUACCCCCUGAAUUUAAGCAUAUUAAUUAGGGGAGGAAAAUAAACUAACCAGGAUUUUCUUAGUAGCGGCGAGCGAAAAGAAAUCAGUUCAGCACUAAGUCACUUUGUCUAUAUGGCAAACGUGAGAUGCAGUGUAUGGAGCGUCAAUAUUCUAGUAUGAGAAAUUAACGAUUUAAGUCCUUCUUAAAUGAGGCCAUUUACCCAUAGAGGGUGCCAGGCCCGUAUAACGUUAAUGGUUACUAGAUGAUGUUUCCAAAGAGUCGUGUUGCUUGAUAGUGCAGCACUAAGUGGGUGGUAAACUCCAUCUAAAACUAAAUAUAACCAUGAGACCGAUAGUAAACAAGUACCGUGAGGGAAAGUUGAAAAGAACUCUGAAUAGAGAGUUAAACAGUACGUGAAACUGCUUAGAGGUUAAGCCCGAUGAACCUGAAUAUCCGUUAUGGAAAAUUCAUCAUUAAAGUUGUAAUAUUUUUUUCAUUUUCAUUUUUCCAUAUAAGGACAUUGUAAUCUAUUAGCAUAUAACAAAUUUAUCAUAAAAUAUGACUUAUAGUUUAUUCAAAUUAUUAUGCUUGCAUUUUAACAUGGAAUAAAUGUCAUUAAUUUGAUAAAGUGUUGAUAAAUUAAAAUUAAUACAGUGCGUUAAUUUUUCGAAAUUAGAUAAUGGCAUAAUUAUCAUUGAUUUUUGUGUUUAUUAUAUGCAUUUGUAUGAUUAACAAUGCGAAAGAUUCAGGAUACCUUCGGGACCCGUCUUGAAACACGGACCAAGGAGUUUAACAUAUGUGCAAGUUAUUGGGAGAUAAACCUAAUAGCGUAAUUAACUUGACUAAUAAUGGGAUUAGUUUUUUAACUAUUUAUAGAUAAUUAACACAAUCCCGGGGUGUUCUAUAUAGUUAUGUAUUAUAAUAAUAUAUUUAUAAUAAUAAUAUAUUUAUAUUAUUUAUGCCUCUAACUGGAACGUACCU